rfam:Felis catus isolate Cinnamon breed Abyssinian chromosome C1, whole genome shotgun sequence.
GCCUGGUGGCUCAGUUGGUUGAGCAUCUGACUUCAGUUCAGGUCAUGAUCUCACAGUCUGUGAGUUCAAGCCCCACAUCAGGCU